UACGAGGGGGGCAAGCGUUGUUCGGAAUUAUUGGGCGUAAAGGGCGCGUAGGCGGUGCGGUAAGUCACCUGUGAAAACGUCUGGGCUCAACUCAGAGCCUGCAGGCGAAACUGCCGUGCUUGAGUGUGGGAGAGGUGCGUGGAAUUCCGGUGUAGCGGUGAAAUGCGUAGAUAUCGGGAGGAAGACCAGUGGCGAAGGCGGGUCGUCUGGACAGUUCCUGACGCUGAGGCACGAAAGUGUGGGGAAUCAAACAGGGAUUAGAA
rnacentral:rRNA from 1 species